rnacentral:rRNA from 1 species
UUCUAGGUAGAAUUAUGAUAAUGACAUUGUCUGCCUAUGUGUCUUGACCAAAUUACGUGCCAGCAGUCGCGGUAAUACGUAGAAGACUAGUGUUAUUCAUGUUUAAUCGGUUUAAAGGGUACCUAGACGGUGAAUCAAGCUUUAGAAUAAAGAAGAAAAGGAACUAAUUCGCUAGAGUUACUUACGAGGGGGUAGUAAAGUACUGCUGGUGUAGAGAUGAAAUUCUGUCAUACCUCUUUUCGAAAGAAAAAUUAUGGCACAGGUAUAGGCGAAGGCAUCCCCUUAUGUGAUAACUGACGUUGAGGGACGAAGGCUUCGUGGAACAAACAGGAUUAGAUACCCUAGUAGUUGAAGCAGAAAAUGAUGAAUGUCAUAGAUUAGACGUCUAAGUUUAUUCUAUAAAUGAAAGUGUAAGCAUUCCACCUCCUGAGUAAUUUGGCAACAUUGGAAUUGAAAUCAUUAGACCGUUUCUGAAACCAGUAGUGAAGUAUGUUGUUUAAUUUGAUAAUACGCAAAAAACCUUACCACAAUUUGAAUAUUUAUAUUGUUUAUUGUUAUCUUAUUAAUUUUCUUAAAAAAACUAAUUAUAGCAAAAGCAUUUUAAAACAGGAAAAGAAAAUUAAUCAAGAGGCAAUAACAUAUAUCUACAAGCGUUGCACGGCUGUCUUCAGUUAAUGUCGCGAGACUUUGGUUAGUUCCCUUCAA